ACGGGCGUCCUGGACGCCCAGUUGAGGGGUGACCUUCAAAAGGGGUGAAAAGCCAAUCUAACCUGGAGAUAGCUGGUCUUCUGCGAAACCCGUUUUAGCGGGUCGCCCAUUUAUUGAAAUUAAAUUCGUUACUAGACGGUACGGCACUGGAAGCCACGCAGCUUUUGCUGCAUAAUCGGGGGGCUGUCAUGGCUCUAUCGAUGGCUUCUAACCCCGGAAAUGUAUAGUAUACAAUGAUGGGCAAUCAGACGUAUCGUGAUAAGGCGAUUCGUCAAAAGGGCAACAGCCCAGAACAGGUGUGAAGGUCCCUAACAAGCUACUGAGUGAACACAAGGCAGUCCUCUCCAGUGUCUCUCCACAAAGUGGGCUUGGUUUCCAGGCCUAUCCUUUCAUAUUUCAUAAGCUCAGUGGUCUGAGCCUCCCUGUAAAAAGGGAAUAUUGCCUGGUGAGGGCGCCAAAAAUGUAACGGGUCUAUAGUAGUUGUCUCUCUGUUCCAGCUUUGGAUAUGGAGGGAGUGGCAGUUUCUUCACUGUCUCACCGAAACCCUGUCCUAGAUGUAAAAUUCUAGGGGUAGCAGAAUACCCAGCAAAUGGAAUGAAGCUUGCUCAUUGAGCCGGUGGACAUAGCUGGGCUAAGAAUGCCGACAUGAGUAGCCUAAAAGGAGGGUAAUUCCCUCUUCGCCGAAAGCAGAAGGGUUUCAUUUGUAAGGUCUAUACCUAGAUGAUUAAAGCAGCGGCCUCUAAGGUUCAGAGUAACAAAU
rnacentral:rRNA from 1 species